AUGAACGCUGGCGGCGUGCUUAACACCUGCAAGUCGCACGCUGAAGCCCAGCUUGCUGGGUGGAUUAGUGGCGAACGGGUGAGUAACACGUGAGUAACCUGCCCUUAACUCUGGGAUAAGCCUGGGAAACUGGGUCUAAUACCGGAUAGGAGCGUCCACCGCAUGGUGGGUGUUGGAAAGAUUUAUCGGUUUUGGAUGGACUCGCGGCCUAUCAGCUUGUUGGUGAGGUAAUGGCUCACCAAGGCGACGACGGGUAGCCGGCCUGAGAGGGUGACCGGCCACACUGGGACUGAGACACGGCCCAGACUCCUACGGGAGGCAGCAGUGGGGAAUAUUGCACAAUGGGCGCAAGCCUGAUGCAGCGACGCCGCGUGAGGGAUGACGGCCUUCGGGUUGUAAACCUCUUUCAGUAGGGAAGAAGCGAAAGUGACGGUACCUGCAGAAGAAGCACCGGCUAACUACGUG
rnacentral:rRNA from 1 species